rnacentral:rRNA from 1 species
AGCUUGCUACUUGACCUAGCGGCGGACGGGUGAGUAAUGCUUAGGAAUCUGCCUAUUAGUGGGGGACAACAUCUCGAAAGGGAUGCUAAUACCGCAUACGUCCUACGGGAGAAAGCAGGGGACCUUCGGGCCUUGCGCUAAUAGAUGAGCCUAAGUCGGAUUAGCUAGUUGGUGGGGUAAAGGCCUACCAAGGCGACGAUCUGUAGCGGGUCUGAGAGGAUGAUCCGCCACACUGGGACUGAGACACGGCCCAGACUCCUACGGGAGGCAGCAGUGGGGAAUAUUGGACAAUGGGGGGAACCCUGAUCCAGCCAUGCCGCGUGUGUGAAGAAGGCCUUUUGGUUGUAAAGCACUUUAAGCGAGGAGGAGGCUACCGAGAUUAAUACUCUUGGAUAGUGGACGUUACUCGCAGAAUAAGCACCGGCUAACUCUGUGCCAGCAGCCGCGGUAAUACAGAGGGUGCAAGCGUUAAUCGGAUUUACUGGGCGUAAAGCGCGCGUAGGUGGCCAAUUAAGUCAAAUGUGAAAUCCCCGAGCUUAACUUGGGAAUUGCAUUCGAUACUGGUUGGCUAGAGUAUGGGAGAGGAUGGUAGAAUUCCAGGUGUAGCGGUGAAAUGCGUAGAGAUCUGGAGGAAUACCGAUGGCGAAGGCAGCCAUCUGGCCUAAUACUGACACUGAGGUGCGAAAGCAUGGGGAGCAAACAGGAUUAGAUACCCUGGUAGUCCAUGCCGUAAACGAUGUCUACUAGCCGUUGGGGCCUUUGAGGCUUUAGUGGCGCAGCUAACACGAUAAGUAGACCGCCUGGGGAGUACGUCGCAAGACUA